rnacentral:rRNA from 1 species
GAUGAACGCUAGCUACAGGCUUAACACAUGCAAGUCGAGGGGUAACGAGAGGAAAGCUUGCUUUCCUUGUCGACGACCGGCGCACGGGUGAGUAACGCGUAUCCAACCUGCCCCCAACUAGGGAAUAACCUUGCGAAAGUAAGACUAAUACCCUAUAAUUUCCUCAGAUGCCAUCUGACGAGGAAUAAAGAUUUAUCGGUUGUGUGUGGGGAUGCGUCUGAUUAGCUUGUUGGCGGGGUAACGGCCCACCAAGGCAACGAUCAGUAGGGGUUCUGAGAGGAAGGUCCCCCACAUUGGAACUGAGACAUGGUCCAAACUCCUACGGGAGGCAGCAGUGAGGAAUAUUGGUCAAUGGGCGGAAGCCUGAACCAGCCAAGUAGCGUGCAGGAUGACGGCCCUAUGGGUUGUAAACUGCUUUUAUACAGGAAUAAAGUUAGCCACGUGUGGUUAUUUGUAGGUACUGUAUGAAUAAGGACCGGCUAAUUCCGUGCCAGCCGCCGCAGUAA